rnacentral:rRNA from 1 species
AGUAAAUAGAUACCCUGGUAGUCCAUGCCGUAAACGAUGUCGACUUGGAGGUUGUGCCCUUGAGGCGUGGCUUCCGGAGCUAAACGCGUUAAGUCGACCGCCUGGGGAGUACGGCCGCAAGGUUAAAACUCAAAUGAAUUGACGGGGCCCGCACAAGCGGUGGAGCAUGUGGUUUAAUUCGAUGCAACGCGAAGAACCUUACCUACUCUUGACAUCCAGAGAACUUAGCAGAGAUGCUUUGGUGCCUUCGGGAACUCUGAGACAGGUGCUGCAUGGCUGUCGUCAGCUCGUGUUGUGAAAUGUUGGGUUAAGUCCCGCAACGAGCGCAACCCUUAUCCUUUGUUGCCAGCGGUUAGGCCGGGAACUCAAAGGAGACUGCCAGUGAUAAACUGGAGGAAGGUGGGGAUGACGUCAAGUCAUCAUGGCCCUUACGAGUAGGGCUACACACGUGCUACAAUGGCGCAUACAAAGAGAAGCGACCUCGCGAGAGCAAGCGGACCUCAUAAAGUGCGUCGUAGUCCGGAUUGGA